UCUCUAUGCGGUGUCAGCCGCCGCGGUAAGUACGAAGGGGGCUAGCGUUGUUCGGAAUUACUGGGCGUAAAGCGCACGUAGGCGGAUAUUUAAGUCAGGGGUGAAAUCCCAGAGCUCAACUCUGGAACUGCCUUUGAUACUGGGUAUCUUGAGUAUGGAAGAGGUAAGUGGAAUUCCGAGUGUAGAGGUGAAAUUCGUAGAUAAUUCGGAGGAACACCAGUGGCGAAGGCGGCUUAC
rnacentral:rRNA from 1 species